UACUCCUUGGUGCCCCUUUAAGAUUGUUGUUUGUUCAUUUGUGGCUGACUGAUUCAUUCAUUCACAGCCAGUUCAUAUAGCAAAGGCCCUUGGACUUGGCUUUUAAAAGGAGAGCUGGGGAGCAAGGGACAGAGAGAUGGAGAAAAACUAGAAAUGAGACAGAGUGAAGACAGGAUGGACAUAGACGGACUCUUGUUCCCUGGAGAGAAGCCAGCAUAGCCCCUUGAUCCCAUGGUCCCCCAAGGAACAAUGUGCUUGAGGGAAUCCAUGCAAUCCCAACAAAAGAUGAACCACUUGACUCAGAUAUAGCAGCAGAGACAAUGGUGGGAGGGUAAAGAGUUCCUCCAUCAAGCCAGUAGCUACAGGUAGAAAAGCCAGUAUGUAGAGUGGAGUGUCCAUGGCAGAGAAGUAAAGGGAUUCUGGAUCGGAACUGCCCACCUGGCUUUCAACUUUGGUGGGCCAAGCUGCUAGCUCUGGGAGAAUAUUGACGGCAGAGAGAAGACAAUGGUGGAAGAGUUCCCAGACAAUGCACAUUUUCUGAACCAAGGGAGAGAUGGAGAUCAUCAAGCGGGUAGCCAUGCAGACCUGGCCUGAGGGGCAGUAGUGGAGCAGGAUCACUUUCCAGAUUUGGGAGUUGGUGCCACCUGGUGGUCCAAACGCCAAGACUAGCCAGAUGGGUUCUAACCCUAGUUUUCUCCCUCUAAAGUCCAGGGAUGAAGGCAAAGCUCCACCCAAACUGAGUCCAAGCUUGCUUGUAUGCUUCUAAGGAUGAAGAUCACCUAACAGAGACUGAAUGUUAUUAUGACUGG